GUUGCUGGAGCCAAGCGCGCAUCUGUCAAGAAUGCUCUCUGGGCGCUGUUCUUGCAAGGAUCCUCUGUUGAACCUCGAGUGCAGUAGAUGUGGAAAGGAAGCGAAGGUAAGGAUACAAGAUCAAGAAGAAAAGGUUCAACGUAUCAACUUUUACAGCCCACGUUCAUCAUCUCCGGAGAAAACAACUCCUGUGGCUUGAAGCCUUUAAUGGAGCCAGUUCUCCCCCACAGGCUGUCUUCACUUCCAGGGAGGGAGGGUUAUUUACUGCAUGCUUCAUCAUUGACGAUCUGCAUGGAGAGAACACAGGAAUCACAUUCACUUUGAGCCGCUGAGUGGCCUGGACGGGAGCCAUCUGUGUGCACUCUUCCUUUAUCUCGUGUGUGUGUCGGGGGUAGCCAGGAGUGCAUUUUAGAAAGAAAUACUUGGAAAAGUUAAUGAAACAGCACAAAAUGUAAUUCCCAGUUCAAUAUCGAGUUGCCAUUUGUUGUUCAUUUUAGUUUGUAUUUUGUGCGUUUUGCCAAGGACUCACAUAAGCUUUGCUUUUUUUGAAUUAGGAUUAUAAAUCACGUGGAAACUCUGGUGACAUUUAAAAAAAAUUGAACGCAGCACCUGUCUGUUUUAAACAUUAGCAAUGCUGAAAUUGGUUUUCAUAUAACUGUGAGCUAUAAUAACUUUCACCUACUUGGAAUUGGUUUGUAAUUUUGACAUGAACUGAUGAGAGCCAAAAUAUUGUUAAGCUUCCCCCUGCCUUCCAGACCCAGUUUGGAUUUGAGGGAUUCUGGAGAUUUGUGAUUUGAAAGUAAUCAUUGUAAAACACAUCAUCAUUAAUCAAAUUACUGAGACCACAGUGUACAGGGUGUUCCAUUCCCAGCUUUCGGGAAUCAUCCCAUCAAUUCUAAUCUGGCCAUUGUCACUAGGGUAGACAAAGAAUCAAUCAAAUCAACAAGUAUUUAUCCAGAGCUUAGUACGCACUUAGCACAGUUCCAGGGUACUAUUUGGAAGGAGGGUAGGAGAGGGUAGAAGAUGUGUAAGACACAUUCCUUCAUUAUCUGAACAAGCAAGGAGGAAAAUGGCAAUUGUUUCUUCAAAAUGCUGCCUGCCUUGAUCAUUAGCUUUGAAUAGCUGUAUGAUUUCAAGUUGCAAGGUUAGAA
rnacentral:lncRNA from 10 species